AUUCUGAGCUUCUGGGAGUUAAGACCCCAACAUGUAAAUCUGGAGGGAUGCAAUUCAACACGUAAUAUUCCCUAACACAAUAUUUCCAUAACAGUCUGUAGCGUCUUCUUCAGGCUAAGGGAUUGGGGCCUCAUCUAUCAGAGUUGUAAUAAGGAACAAAGGUUGUUGAAGGUAUCCAAAGGGCAAUGUAACCCAAAAAUGUGAACAACUGGUAUAUAUGGAGCAUCAGGAAGAGUAGCUAAUGGAUGUGGAGCUUAAUACCAAGGCGAUGGGUUGAUUUGUGCAGCAAACCACCAUGGUUCACGUUUACCUGUGUAGCAUACCUGUACAUCCUGCACAUAUACCCGAGCUUAAAAGUUGAAGGAAAAUAAAUAAAUUUAAUAUAAAUAAAAAAAAAAAAAAA
rnacentral:lncRNA from 1 species